GAGCUAAUGAAGUUCGAAAUGGGAGAUGCGUUUUUGAAAUGUUUCAGUGUUUUACGUGUAUUAAAAUCAUGAAGUAAAAUGUAAUUGCAAAUGACAAUAUAUAUGGGUAUGUGUUAUUCUAAUUAUUACAUGGAAUAUACAACUUUAUUUUCGAUUUUAUAGCAAUUUAUAAAAGUUCAAAAAGUGGUUGUGCUUUUGGAAUUAAUCGUAACGAGAGUAAGAAAAAUAUUCAAAUUGGAUUUAAUAUUCAAUUUAAUUUGAAGUAUACACAGUAAAGGAAUAAUAACGAUUUGAAUCCGGACAUGUUAGUUUGAGACCGACGAGCUACAGCCCUCCAUGAAGUUGGAAAGUUGUCAAUUUGUUACGGAGAGUGCCUGCUAGCUAGAAACUAUACGUUAUAAACUCGUAAAGACAGAUUUCGUAAGCAGACCGCCGUGACAUAAUUGGAAGCUGGUGAGAAACGGCGUAAAACCCAACUAAAUGGUUAUCAAAUGCAAAUGCUUCAGCUGUUACCAAUCCGAAGAUAUACAGAUGCUAUUUUAAAAGAAAAAAACAACAGCCUAUUCCUUUCCUAAAGGGCAAACUUCAAGAACCACAUGGAUUCUGCACCAAGAACCGACUGGAGGAAAAAUGAAAACGAUCGGAAAACAUCAGUAAGUUACAAGACGAAGACAAGCAUGGGAGUAGCAGGUUAUUGUUGUUGUUCUCUACUGUGAAAUUUGGAAGUGAAUGCUGGCACUUAGAUGGUAUUAUUAUGGAAGUAAAGUCAGUUACAAUACAAAUCGUAAUGGUGCACACGAUUUCACAUAGUUCAGGUUGUUUGUUGCUCUUUUAAACGUUUUGAUCGUUUCUGUUAUAAUAAAGGAAUGUAUUUAUUUUUAAUACGUGUAACGGGUGAACAGUGGGAUAACCUUAAUGAAUUUUCUUUGUCCAAAACAAAUGUUUGAGAACUCUUGAUAAUGUUUUAAAACAAAAUGUGUUAGCAAACUGUGCAAAAACUACAGAAAAUAUCAUUUCAGCUAAUGUAAAAGUGACAUUUACUUUAAAUAUUUCUUACAUGUUUGCUUGUAAAUAAACCUUUCAUUUUUUUUUGUUCGUAAAAUGGGUUUCAGGAGAUUUUUACAUGCUCUAGAGCGUAACUAACUAGAUCACAUUCUAUAUUGAUUUGUUACGGGGCUUCAAAUUUCAAAUUGAUUAAGCUGUUCAUUGUUUCCCUGCUUACAUUAAACUUAAACGAUAAAGCCCACUAUUUUCCCCCUGGUAUGUUAAAUCAGUCAAUGUGUGCAUUUAUGAAUACAGGGUAUGGAAUAACAAUAGCCUGUUCAUUUUAAAGCUAAGACAUUUGUCAUUUUUAUUCAACUAUACAAUUUAGUAUUUUAAGUUUGGAAAUAUACUUGCAACCCAGCUAAUACACAAAAUUGAAUAUAAAUACAUAUUUACGUUUUACUGAAAAAGAAGCAUGCCCAAUUUGAGAUGUCAUUAAAUAUAAAACCCAUCAGCCUUAGCGUAAAUUUGCAUUACUAUUACAUUGUUACAUAAAUUAGAAAAGUCUUAUAUUCCACAAGGGAACGUAUGAUUCCGUAUGUGCGUAUUUCAUAAGAACUCGAGCAUGUUUAUUUUACAUAUUUGUCUUCAUGGGAUUCACCCUGUGAGAACACUUUCAUGUAAUCUGGACCAAGCUUGGGAUUGCAUUUGAGGUUUGGAGCAUCAUAAACCGGCGUAAAUCCGUGAUAUUUGUUUUCCUACUAGGGUCUUGUUUUCACCACUGGGGAUUA